rnacentral:lncRNA from 1 species
UGAGUACACUGGCAGACAUAAAUGCUUGCUUUUCUUAAACUACAUUCCCUGUCUCUCCCUCCCACCCCAAAAUAUAGGUAGUAGAAUCUGUGUGAGACAAUCUUUAUGAACAAUGUCAUCAUGAUUUAAAAACACUCCCCAGCUCUAUCCUUGAGAUUCACGCUGAAGCCACGGACCUCCCUGAAUCUAGCAGAACACCUUACACAGAGAAUAUUAACACAUUUUGUUGGCAGUGAAGUUUGCUAAAGGAAAAGGGAACAUGGAAGGGAAGAUGAGCUCCAUCAGGAAUAUCCAGUACCAUGCAGUGUGCUUGGCACACAAAAGGGGCUAAAAAAGGUUUUUGGAAAAUGGAAAUGUGAGAGGGUGCCUGUGCAGCAGUAUUCACUGUGAUAGGAAGUGAGAAGCAGUCUGAGUGUUCAUUGCUGAGGGAAUCAAGGGCAAAAUAUCAUGGAUGCACUCAUGGACAAAUAAGCAGCAGUUUGAAGCAACAACCUAGAUGGAUGUACAGCCAUCAAGAGGAUCUUAAAGUGUGGUCUUUAGUGGAAAAAAAGGUUACAUUUGAACAUAUUUAUCUGCUAAAGCAAAAUAAUUCCCAUCAUUCUAUAGCAGAAGCAAUGUAUGGGAGACUGAGUAAUUACAUAUAAGCUCACAUCACUAUCUCUUCCACCACUGUCAUCCAUCAUGACUGAUCUGGGAGAUGAAACAGCACAGAUCUAAAGGACGUGGUAAGAAUCGAGAUCACCAGAGAUCAGUAGAUACUUGCAUACUUGCAGGAUUAACACUGUCUGGAUUCCAACGAUCAGCUGAGUAUGUUCAAGAUAAAGCUAUAGUACAUAUUUUAGAUUGGGGAUUGGCAACAAAUAGCUGUAGACUACCUUCUGAGGAAUAAGUGUUUUCACAUGUGUGGGUGUCAUUUCUAAUCCCAGCAUCACAGUCAGGUCCAGAUACCUGUUUCUGAUCUUUGGUCCUAUGCCUAAUCUCCUCCAAGAGUCCUUCCCUGGAUCUCCUAUCUAAGCAAGAUGCUCGAUGCCCACCAAUGAGUACUGCACCAAGUUCAUUUCCACUAGCCUGUGUUACAAUUUGUGUUUCUGUAUGUUUCCCUUACUUGUUAUUCUUUGUCUUCCGCAUUAGACUGAAAGCACUGCCACGGGGACCAUGUCUAGGACAUAGGAGGUCCUUAAUAAAUAUUUCUUGAGUGGAUAAAUGGUGAACCAUAGGGGUGGCAUAAGAGCAAAUAGAGGGUAGAUGAGCACUAAUCCAUUCACCACCCUGUUUAUGGGUGAUGGAUCUUGGAUGGCCUUUUUCAUAGUCAAAACAUACUUUUUAGAUCUGGCUUCUUGGGAUGUAUUCAAGGAUGCUAGCCAUGUUUGAGACUGUAAAUAUGUCUAGUGAAUAGGGCUUCAGGCUGUGUGUGUUUGCCUUGUUUUGCACAGAAUUCGGCACAGCCCCAAGCACAGAUGGGUGCUUCAUAAAUAUUAUGGAAGGAUGAUGACACAAAAGAUUAUUUAAUACCUCUACAUGGGGUGGAGACGGACCUCAGGCCACAAACAUACUUUCAAUGUGUUUUACUUCUGAAAUCAUUUGAACCAAAAUGUUUCAGCAACACAGAUUCAUCUGCAACCACAAAUCAGACACAUUCAGAAUGACAAAGCCCCAAAAGAAUGCCAUUUUCAAGGCUGAAACUGUAUUAUUCUGGGCUAAAUGGAAUCCUUGUUUUAGUGACACUGUAAGAGUAGAAAUUAAAGACACUGAAAAUCUUCCCUUGGGGAGCCACAAUUAUCUGUGAACAAUGAAAGUUUGUCUGAAUAAUUCAUCAGCCUCAAGGGUACAGGCCUCCCCUUAUUCUGGAAUCCCAGGAGUUUAGGCAAGUGUGUCAUUUAAUGGAUCUCAACUGUGUCCUCAGUUGUUAUUAUUCCAGGGCCUGGCAUUUAUGGGCACAUUCCUAUAAUUUUACUAAUUAAAGAAAAAAUAAGCUAUAUGGGAAACCACUGUCAAGGUCGAAAUUUUGAAGCUGCAUUGAUUUUACCUAGGAAGAAAGAAGCUUAUAAAGUGUCCAUCAUGAGAAUCCACCUGGGACCUACACAACAGAUCAAAUACCCAGAACAAAUCACCAAGUCAGAGCCCCACAGAAUUCUGAUUCCCAACCAGCAAGCAUGAAUAAUCCUUUUAAAUGGUCACUUACAUAUCAGAACAGGUCCUUUGUGAAAUUUCUAAGCAAGGCCUCUGGUUUCUGACUGAAACAGAGAUUUAUUGAGAAGGAGGGGUAAAGUGAAAUCAAGAACUACUGGGAAAUUUCCACAAGAAACAAGGACAAAUGGUUUUUGUUGUCAGAAUAAAACCAGCCUCCCCUAGCCAUGGUUUGGAAAGUUAUUUGCUAGCCCACAGGGGACAAUAUUCUCAACUGGUUUAUCAGGGACCCUUUUGAUCCAAUUAUAAUUAUUGGGCAGAUACAGUAGUACCCUAUUAUCAGAAGACCUAGUUUCAAAUCCUGAGUCAAUUUCUAAUUCACUGUGUGACCUUGUACAAGUCACUUAAGCUCUCUGAUCAUUGGUUCAACAUCUUUAAUAUGAGGAGAGUAAUACCUACCUCAAUUACCUCAUAAAAUUAUUGCAAAGAUCAAGUGAGUUGAUAUGUUACAAAUUAUUUCUAAAUUAUAAGAUUCUGUAUAAGUGGAAGGGUUAAAUAUACUCCCAUAUUAUUAAAUACCCUACAUAUCACUCAGGAUCCUAUAUGACUCUGAGUUCUCAAUUUCUAGAAAUGGUCCCAUUUUUGCUUUGUUCCCUACAAUUCUACGGAGUCUUUUUUUUUUUUAAAGGAAGGGUGUAGGCAAAGGUAAAUGGGAGAAAACAUGGAAUCACAUACCACUCUUUGGUGCUGCUAGGCAAGAAUUUUAAACUGAGUUUAGUUCACCAUCGUGGACUUAAGGUCCAUAUCACCUCAGGGAGACAAGUAGAGUGGGAGGCAUCCAAAAGGUAGGUGAUUCUUCUCCCCUCUAGUGAAGAAUACAAGGUCAAUUUACAAAAAAGCACCAGCAGCAAAUAAUUGGAAAAUUAAAUUCAUAAAACAUUCAUAAUAGCGUCAAAAUAAAGAAAAUACUCAGAAAUAAAUUUAACAAAAAUUGUAUAAGAUCUCUACAUUAAAAAUUAUGAAAUACAUGUAAGAGAAAUUAAAGAAAACCUAAAUAGAGAGAUAUACCACAUUCAUGGAAUGGAAGAUUCAAGAUUAUUAAAAUACUAUUCUCCCCAAAUGGCUCUAUAGAUUCAACAUAAUCCCAAUCAAAAUCCCAGUAGGCUUUGGUAGAAAUUGAGAUGUUGGUUCUAAAAUGAAAUAAAAUGCAGGGGACCUAGAAUAUAUAAUUUCCCUUUAAUUUGACAAAGAAGAAAAACAUAUUGGGAAGCUCACCUAAUUUCAGUGUAAUAUUUACAUACGAAUCAACAAAUGGAUCAGUGGUAUAGAAUAGAGAAUGCUGAAAGAGAUCUACAUAUAUAUGGUCAACAGAUUUUUAAUAAUGGUGCCAAGGCUAUUCAGGGGAAAGAAAAUUCUUUUUUAAAAAUGGGAUUGGAAAAACUGGAUAAGGGAAAUAAGUGAACCUCGACCCCUACCUUAUACCGUGCUCAAAAAUUAAUUCAAAAUCAUUCUAGACAUAAGUGUAAAAGUUGAAACUGCAAUGACUCUAGAAGAAAAUAUGGAGAAAAUAUCUCUCUGACCUUGGAGGAAGCAAAAAUUUCUUGUAGUUGACAAAGACAUAUAUAAUAAUCAUAUAAUCCAUUAAUUAUAAGAAAAAUAAACUGGACUUCAUCAAAAUUUAAAACUUCUGCCCAUUAAAAGAUACUAAUAAGAAGAUUAAAAGUAGCCAGGUUCAGUGGCUCAUACCCAUAAUCCCAGCACUUUGGGAGGCUGAAGCAGGGGGAUCACUUCAGGCCAGGAAUUUGAUACCAGCCUAGGCAACAUAGCAAGAUCUCAUUUCUACAAAAAAUGUUUUUAAAAUUAACUGGGUAUGAUGGCGCAUGUGUAGUCCUAGCUACUCAGGAGGCUGAGUUGGGAGGAUUGCUUGAGCCCAGCAGUUGAAGGUUACAGUGAACUAUGAUCGUACCACUGCACUCCAGCCUGGGCAACAGAGUGAGACCCUUUCUCUAAAAUAAACAAAUAAAUAAUUUUUAUGUCAUCUGAAACUAAGAUCAUACUGAAAUUUUCCCUCAGUGUCUCCAGAAUGUCUUUUUUGAAUGGUUUGCCCAAUGUAGUAUCUCAUUUAGAACCACGUGUUAUGGCCCUUCAGUAUUUUUUUGUUGUUGUUGUUGAGACAGAGUUUCACUCUUGUUCUCUUGUUGCCCAG